rnacentral:lncRNA from 1 species
GAGGGUUCCUGCCGCACCCCGAGGUGCAGGCCCCCGGGGUCGGGCGGGCCCUUGGAAGUGGGGGUUCCCUACUUAUCCCCUACUCCCUGCCCACACAGAAGGCCCCCCCCUUCCCGGCCCCAGAGCUCACAGCAGACAGAGAUCUGAGAGUGUGUCAUGCUUGUGCCGCGUGUGUGCACACGUGCGUGUGUGUCCUCGUGUAAGCAUGGUAUGUACGCGUGUCUCAGGCUCUCUGUCUCGGGGACUUGCAACCAGACAGCUGGAGAGGCAGCCUGGACACCAUGACAGGCC